GGGCGGCUCCCGAUACGGGGAAUGGGCUGAACGCUGCGUCGAACAGGCCGUCUCUCCUCGGUGAUUUAAGGUCGCUCUGCUGGUUCCAGCUCCUGUCUCCAGCAUCCACAAAGAGACCCGCACCUGCUUUCCAUUCUGCGGUGCAGCCUGACUCUGCAAUCCUCUGUGACUGAUUCAGCUUUCAGCUAUUACUUCGUUUGCUUCCAGCUUCCAAGCUUUCAGCUAUUAACCCAUCUGUUUCCAGCAACCUGCUUCCAACAGAAUUCAGCCUCCUUAAAGAGCCGGUGUUCUCCCAGCGGAUUUCUACUUACCAGCAGUAUCCACUACCACCGGUAACCACUCUUCAUUUCAUCUGUUUCCACGCACCCUAGCAUCUUUCAGUUUUAACUCCGUGUCUCCACCAUCUGGCUGGUUCCGUCCAGUGACUCCUACAGUGCAUUCCAGUUACCAGCAUCAUCUUAUACACCUACUGGCGUGUUCCUCGGUUGUCUUCACUACUACAGCCUGGCCUGGUAAGGUUAUUCUACCCAAGGACUAUAACAUCUGUUCUGCAACCUACCAGUGCCCUGUUAUACCUUUUAUGGUUUAGUGAUCCAGGAACUGUAUUAUCUGCCACUGCUAAUUCUGACUGUGAACGCUGUUGUGAUUAUACGGAGUCUGUUUAAUAAACUUUCAUUUGACUUUUAA